UCCUUGGUGGUCCAGUGGUUAAGACUCCAUGCUUUCAAUGCAGAGGGCAUGGGUUCAAUCCCUAGUCAGGGAA
rnacentral:tRNA from 1 species